AGAGUUUGAUUCUGGCUCAGGAUGAACGCUGGCGGCGUGCUUAACACAUGCAAGUCGAACGAAGCACUUUAUUUGAUUUCCUUCGGGACUGAUUAUUUUGUGACUGAGUGGCGGACGGGUGAGUAACGCGUGGGUAACCUGCCUUGUACAGGGGGAUAACAGUUGGAAACGGCUGCUAAUACCGCAUAAGCGCACGGCAUCGCAUGAUGCAGUGUGAAAAACUCCGGUGGUAUAAGAUGGACCCGCGUUGGAUUAGCUAGUUGGUGAGGUAACGGCCCACCAAGGCGACGAUCCAUAGCCGACCUGAGAGGGUGACCGGCCACAUUGGGACUGAGACACGGCCCAAACUCCUACGGGAGGCAGCAGUGGGGAAUAUUGCACAAUGGGCGAAAGCCUGAUGCAGCGACGCCGCGUGAGCGAAGAAGUAUUUCGGUAUGUAAAGCUCUAUCAGCAGGGAAGAUAAUGACGGUACCUGACUAAGAAGCACCGGCUAAAUACGUGCCAGCAGCCGCGGUAAUACGUAUGGUGCAAGCGUUAUCCGGAUUUACUGGGUGUAAAGGGAGCGCAGGCGGUGCGGCAAGUCUGAUGUGAAAGCCCGGGGCUCAACCCCGGUACUGCAUUGGAAACUGUCGUACUAGAGUGUCGGAGGGGUAAGCGGAAUUCCUAGUGUAGCGGUGAAAUGCGUAGAUAUUAGGAGGAACACCAGUGGCGAAGGCGGCUUACUGGACGAUAACUGACGCUGAGGCUCGAAAGCGUGGGGAGCAAACAGGAUUAGAUACCCUG
rnacentral:rRNA from 1 species